CAAGGGUGUAUUUUGACAUAAAAGGUCAACGACACAACUUUCACUUGAGGUUUAGUUUCCUCGUGAUAUACGUGUUGAGAGAUUAGCACUUCAUUAGGACCUCUUUAGGUCAGAGAAAUUAUCUCCGAGCCUCCCUUCAGUCAUGUGCCUCACACCUUCUACCAUUGUCCAGUAGGGAACAUAGGAUACGGCUAUAUUUUUGGAAUUGGUUUGGAGGGAAACUGGUUAUGGUAUUUCUUUUUUUUUGCCUUUACUUUUGCCGAGGACGAUGAAUAGCUAUCCUCCUCCUUCGUUCACUUGACACCUUGAUUAUUUUUUUAUUGAGAG
rnacentral:lncRNA from 1 species